AUAACAACAUUAGGACCAUCGGUCUACUGAGCAAUAUCAGCCGCUCCGUGGAAGUACUUCCCUUUGUCGUUAUC
rnacentral:pre_miRNA from 1 species